rnacentral:rRNA from 1 species
GAUGAACGCUAGCGAUAGGCUUAACACAUGCAAGUCGAGGGGCAGCAUGGUCUUAGCUUGCUAAGACUGAUGGCGACCGGCGCACGGGUGCGUAACGCGUAUGCAACUUGCCUCACAGAGGGGGAUAACCCGUCGAAAGACGGACUAAUACCGCGUACACUUGGGAUAGGGCAUCCUGACCCAAGGAAAUGAAAUUCGCUGUGAGAUAGGCGUGCGUCCCAUUAGCUAGUUGGUGAGGUAACGGCUCACCAAGGCGACGAUGGGUAGGGGAACUGAGAGGUUGAACCCCCACACUGGUACUGAGACACGGACCAGACUCCUACGGGAGGCAGCAGUGAGGAAUAUUGGUCAAUGGGCGAGAGCCUGAACCAGCCAAGUCGCGUGAAGGAUGACUGUCUUAUGGAUUGUAAACUUCUUUUAUACGGGAAUAACAAGAGCCACGUGUGGCUCCCUGCAUGUACCGUAUGAAUAAGCAUCGGCUAACUCCGU